GGGCGGGCACGCGCCGCUCCUCCCCUCCCCCACUCUCCCUGUCCAGGGUCGGGUUCGCUCAUUCACUAUUCAUUCAUUCAUUGUUCCUUUCUCCGGCCCCUAACCGCUUCUGAAUCCCGCCUUUCUCCCCCCCCCCACUGGCAGUCUCGGGCGGUUAGUGACCCGCAUCCCGCAUCCUUAAGCAACCGUCUGCUCGUAGUUUCCCGCCAAAUCCCAGACUUUCCGGGAACAAUAGACGGGGGGCGCUGCCUGUGUGCACGUCCUGCGGAAAUCCCCAGCUGGACCCCCAAGCACAUUAAAUUCUGCGUGGCGGGGAGACCUGAAGUGCUUUUCUAAUAAGGUUUUGACCUGGCAGUCCAACACCCCUACCCCCCUUCCCUCCUCCCUCCUCGUUUUACGGAUUGGAAAACAGCCGAGAUCCAAGAUUGAUGGCCUGAGUGCAUUGAAGAAGGAAGCUGCAAAGGCUGGGAAUUCAAACCCUCGUCCUCUGGACCCCAAUCUGGGGCAACAAAAUUCGUAGUCUUUACAAAUGUAUCCCUGAACUGAAUAUCUCUGAAUGCUGUGGUUUGCUCAGCGUUUGGACCUCCCCGGGCUGGAAACGACUUCCGCAACUUGUUGAGGCAAGAGGGAGCCAUUGGAGUUUAUUGAGUGACACAGUGAGGUGCAGUGCUAAGCAACAGGUUACCAGAAAUGGACAAAACACAGGAUGUUUGGAGCACCUCACCUCUCUGCCAACAGUGCAUCAGUGUGCCCAUCUUCCCACAAUACUGAUUAUUUCCAUCUUUUGUCAUCUCUCUCAAUUGACUGGAUAUGAGGUGGAACCUCAGGGUUGUAUUGAUCUGCAUUUCUCUUAUUUAUAGUUAUUUGGAGCUGUUUUUCAUGUGAUUGUUAAUAAUUUUCAAUUCUUAGUUUGAGAUGGGGAAUUCUCACUUUAGAACCCUUCUUUGGAAUGUUUGUGGUGACUUGAAUCUGGAAUUUCUAAUUCUGAUUUGGGGUUUUGUUGUGGUUGCUGAGGUUAUUGCUGUGCUGUGUGGCCUUUAGCAAAUCUUACAAACUUUCCACUAAGUCUAGUUCCUAAGUGUAAUUAUCAGAAUUAUAGAGAAAUACCUCUGCAAAA